rnacentral:rRNA from 1 species
UACAGAGGGUGCAAGCGUUGUUCGGAAUUAUUGGGCGUAAAGGGCGCGUAGGCGGUGCCACAAGUCACCUGUGAAAUCUCCGGGCUUAACUCGGAGCCUGCAGGCGAAACUGUGGUGCUGGAGUGUGGGAGAGGUGCGUGGAAGUUCCCGGUGUAGCGGUGAAAUGCGUAGAUAUCGGGAAGAACACCAGUGGCGGAAGGCGGCUACCUGAC